rnacentral:rRNA from 1 species
UACGGAGGGUGCAAGCGUUAAUCGGAAUUACUGGGCGUAAAGCGCACGCAGGCGGCUUGUUAAGUCGGAUGUGAAAGCCCCGGGCUCACCCUGGGAAUUGCAUUCGAUACUGGCAAGCUAGAGUAUGUGAGAGGGGGGUAGAAUUCCAAGUGUAGCGGUGGAAUGCGUAGAGAUGUGGAGGAAUACCAGUGGCGAAGGCGGCCCCCUGGCACACUGCUGACGCUAAGGUGCGAGAGCGUGGGGAGCAAACAGG